CAGCCGCCGCGGUAAUCCGAAGGGGGCUAGCGUUGUUCGGAAUUACUGGGCGUAAAGGGCGCGUAGGCGGCCAUUCAAGUUAGAUGUGAAAGCCCAGGGCUCAACCUAGGAAUUGCAUUUGAUACUGUUUGGCUUGAGUUCGGGAGAGGUGAGUGGAAUUCCCAGUGUAGAGGUGAAAUUCGUAGAUAUUGGGAAGAACACCAGUGGCGAAGGCGGCUCACUGGACCGACACUGACGCUGAGGCGCGAAAGCGUGGGGAGCAAACAGGAUUAGAUACCCCUGUAGUCCCUGUCUCUUAUAC
rnacentral:rRNA from 1 species